rnacentral:rRNA from 1 species
CGCAUCUGUGCAUGCAGCAUAUCAAUAAGCGGAGGAAAAGAAACUAACAAGGAUUCCCUUAGUAACGGCGAGUGAAGCGGGAAGAGCUCAAAUUUGAAAUCUUCAAGGUUUUACCUUGACGAAUUGUAGUUUAAAGAAGUGUUUUCUGUUGAAGUUUUGGUAAAAGUUCUUUGGAAUAGGACAUCAUAGAGGGUGAGAAUCCCGUAUUUGACCAUUAUUUUCAGCUGUGUGAUACACUUUCAAAGAGUCGGAUUGUUUGGGAAUGCAGUCCAAAAUGGGUGGUAAAUUUCAUCUAAGCUAAAUAUUGGCGAGAGACCGAUAGCGAACAAGUACCGUGAGGGAAAGAUGAAAAGAACUUUGAAAAGAGAGUUAAACAGUACGUGAAAUUGUCAAAAGGGAAGCGUUUGACACCAGUGUUGUUUUCUCGAAAAUCAAUUAAAAAGAGUUAGAUUUUGUUGUGUAUUGACCUUAACAGCUUGCAUUUCAAUUUUCUUGCUUUUUUCAAUGCACUUUUCGUUUAACAAGUCAACAUCAGUUUCUUUUGUUGUAAAAAGGUCAUUGGAAGGUGGCUUUCUUUUCGGAGAAAGUGUUUAUAGCCUUUGACUCCUGCAAUCGGAGAGACUGAGGUCUGCAGCGUAGAUCCUUCGGGGUUAGAUACAUUUGUGCUAAGUUAUAGCUUUUUAUAGACAACUUGUUGACUAUGAUUAGUCUUGUAGCUUACUCGCUUAUGCUAUUUUACCUACGCUUAGGAUGUUGAUGUGAUACUGCGAGCA